GAAGUGCUCUGACCAGCAGCUCUUGCAUGAGGCACCUACAGGCAGAGGAUUAAUUAGGUUUUCAGUUUCAGUUUCCCAGAAAGGAGGUGGGCUUUUUUUUCACCCUGCUUUAAAAGCCCUUGGGCCCUUCCCAGCUGGGUGCCAGCCAACUGUGGCUGCCUGGGACACUCCAUCUUAAGUCCCUGUGCCUCUGCUGUGUGUUACUGAGUGCCUAGGCCGUGCCAGCCUGUAUUCAUCUGUACUAUGACCUGAAGAGGCAGAGGCCAUCACUGUUGGUCCGGUCUCCACCUGGGGAAACUGAGGUUGCACAGUGUCUCUGUGGUGACGAGCAGGGCUUCAUCCAGUGCCUCUGUCCCCACCGAGGGGACUAUGGGAGACAUGGAGGGUGUGUGAGCAACAGGUGAGACUGGAGCCAGCUGAAAACUGGGAGACCGACCCAGCCAACAAACAAUGUCGGUCUCUGUCUUGGCACCUGCAGGAAACAAGCUCCUACUUCCAGAAAAAGUGCUCCUGGGACUCCAGGAUACCAGGCAUCUGGACGCGGUGGUACAUGCCUGUAAUCCCAACACUUAGGCAGGAGGAUCACUCGAGCCCAGAAGAUCAAGACUAGUGUGAGCAACAAAAUCCUUCCCUGGCACCGGUUCCAGGAGGACCUCGUUCUUAGGCAGCAUCUGUGUCUCUGUUUUGUAAGACACACAGAGUAUCCUUAACCCACUGCAGAUAUUUCCCUGGGUCCAUGGUCAAUCAACACCACCUUUCAGUCUCCAGCCUCUUAACCAGCCCAGGGCUGAGUGUUGUUUAUAGUAUUAAUAUGUUUCUGGCUGGGCUCAGUGGCUCAUGCCUGUAAUCCCGGCACUAUGGGAGGCUGAGGCAGGCGGAUCACUUGAGGUCAGGAGUUCAAGACCAGCCUGGCCAACAUAGUAAAACCCCGUCUCUACUAAAAAUACAAAAAUGAGCCGGGUGUGGUGGCGUGUGUCUAUAAUCCCAGCUACUCGGGAGGCUGAGGCAGGAGAAUUGCUUGAACCUGGGAGGUGGAGGCUACAGUGAGCUGAGAUCAUGCCACUGCACUCCAGCCUGGGCAAGAAAGUGAGACUCCAUCUCAAAACAAAGAAACAAACAAAGUAUUAAUAUGUUCCCCUUGAUCAGUGGGGUGGUUCACCCUUGUAAUCCCAGCACUUUGGGAGGCAGAGGCUGGCGGAUCGCUUGAGUCCAGGAGUUCGAGACCAGCCUGGGUGAACUAGCAAAACCCUGCCUGUACUAAAAAUACAAAAAUUAACUGGGCUUGGUGGUGCGAGCCUGUAAUCCCAGUGGAGGCUGAGACAGGAGAAUCCUUUUGUAAUGCCUGACCUUGUUUUUUUACUAACCCUAUUUUAACCUUGUUUUUACUAACCCUAUUUUUAAAUUUUCCCUUUUUGUCUCCUUAAUUACCUAGCCUUGUUUCCCAUAUGAGUAGACUCUCCCUUAGCUGGGAAAGCCUGACGAACGCCAUCUGGCCCCUUGAUUUACAAGACAUUAAGGGCUACUUACCCAACCCCCUUCCUCAAAGAGUUAACCUGCGUAAGCAGAUCCUCAGCAUUUCAAAGGAGCCCAAUUAGCUGAUAAGGUACUGGAACAAACAAUGUACGAAGUUCCCAGGAUUUUGCUCAAAAGCAUAACAACAUAAAGCCUUGAGUCUGUGUCUGGCAUAGCAUCCAUAUCUAACUCUUAUGAAGGAUUUAGAGCCCGGCACCUGGUUCCGUUGCUUUUUUUGUAACCAUUUGUCUUUUAAAUUGUUUAUUUCUCUGUAACCAUUUGUUUUUUGAUUCUUGCAUGUUUUUACUUCUGUAGAAUUAUUGCAUUUGAGCUCCGCUCCCCUUCCGAACCAAGGUAUAAAAGUAAAUCAAGCCCCUUCCUCGGGGCCGAGAGAAUUUUGGAAAGUCAAGCCUUCUCUUGGCUGCCGGCUUAAAUAAAGGACUCUUAAUUCGUCUCG
rnacentral:lncRNA from 1 species